CCUACGUGUGGCAGCAGUGGGGAAUAUUGCACAAUGGGGGGAACUCUGAUGCAGCGACGCCGCGUGAGUGAAGAAGUCUUUAGGUAUGUAAAGCUCUAUCAGCAGGGAAGUAAAUGACGGUACCUGACUAAGACGCCCCGUCUCACUACGUGCCAGCAGCCGCGGUAAUACGGAGGGGGCCAGCGUUAUCCGGAUUUACUGGGUGUAAAGGGAGAGCAGACGGCUGUGUAAGUCUGGAGUGAAAGGGCGGGGCGCAACCCCCGAAUUGUCCUGGAAACUGUAAAGCUAGAGGGCAGGAGAGGUAGGCGGAAUGCCUGGUGUAGCGGUGAAAUGCGUAGAUAUUAGGAGGAACACCAGUGGCGAAGGCAGCUUACUGGACUGCAACUGACGUUGAGGCUCGAAAGCGUGGGGAGCAAACAGGAUUAGAUACCCCUGUAGUC
rnacentral:rRNA from 1 species